UCGCCUCAUGGGCGAGAGGCGGUCUCGCA
rnacentral:sRNA from 1 species